GUUACGGGGGGUGGCGUUUUGCUGCGCUUCGGCCCUUCCGGCCCUUUUUUGGGGCUCGCGGUGAGGGGCAUCGCCGUGAGGCGCGCGGUGACCUCUUCGUUCCCCGCACGGCUGGUGUCUCAUCGCUUCCAUCGGUUCGUCUUUGCCUUUCCAACAGGGAAUCGUCUUUGCAGUGUUCUCUGUAGGACACCACGGCGGUUACGGCCAGUCCCCGCUCACACGUGCAGUAUUAUGAAUGUGUUUACCAACAUGCAAUACAAAUCGUGUUUCAUCAAAUGCUCACCCAGAAUGCAGCUGUGCAAACUGAGUAGAAGAAUGCAGAUUAUAAUAAAGAAGGGCAAGAGAGCACCAUGAAGAGUCAAAGAGUUCUCAAGAUCAGGGGCGAGACUCUUGAUUUUUGUAAUGUAUAUAUAAUUUUGUGGUCCAGAAAGCCAAGAUAGCCUGAUAUGAAACUGAGUAUUUCCUCAAUAAAGACAAAGUCACUGAGGAGCCACAACAAGAAUGAUCUAACUGCAAGUUUCAUCCCUAUUAUCACCACCCAUUGGCCCCUGUGACAAAAUUAGGGGCUAUAAACUGCGCUUGCUCGUCAGGUUCCAUAGCUGAUAAUUCCAGGUGCAUGUGAUCAGCACCAAUCAAAUAGACCUGUUUGAACUUGGAAGAGUGCUGAACACCAUGAGAUCUCACCACCACCACAGCCUCCACCACUCCUUAGGCUUCAGACUGCUGUUGAAGAAGACACCACUGUUUUGGAAAGCACUAUGUUUACCUCUCUGUACACCUACUGACAAGUCAAAUUUUUAAAUUUAGUUACUUACA